rnacentral:rRNA from 1 species
UACGGAGGGGGCUAGCGUUGUUCGGAAUUACUGGGCGUAAAGCGCGUGUAGGCGGCUAUGCAAGUCGGACGUGAAAUCCCACGGCUCAACCGUGGAAGUGCGCUCGAAACUGCGUAGCUAGAGUCCUGGAGAGGAAGGUGGAAUGCUUGGUGUAGAGGUGAAAUUCGUAGAUAUCAAGCGGAACACCGGUGGCGAAGGCGGCCUUCUGGACAGUGACUGACGCUGAGACGCGAAAGCGUGGGGAGCAAACAGG